UACAGGUACAGACAGGUAGUGUACAGGUACAGACAGGUAGUGUACAGGUACAGACAGGUAGUGUACAGGUAGUGUACAGGUACAGACAGGUACAGACAGGUAGUGUACAGGUACAGACAGGUAGUGUACAGGUACAGACAGGUAGUAUACAGGUACAGACAGGUAGUGUACAGGUACAGACAGGUAGUGUACAGGUACAGACAGGUAGUGUACAGGUACAGACAGGUAGUGUACAGGUAGUGUACAGGUACAGACAGGUAGUGUACAGGUAGUGUACAGGUACAGACAGGUAGUGUACAGGUACAGACAGGUAGUGUACAGGUACAGACA